CUCCUUCGGGAGGGGAUUAGUGGCGAACGGGUGAGUAACACGUGGGCAAUCUGCCCUUCACUCUGGGACAAGCCCUGGAAACGGGGUCUAAUACCGGAUACGACUGCGGAAGGCAUCUUCCGCGGUGGAAAGCUCCGGCGGUGAAGGAUGAGCCCGCGGCCUAUCAGCUUGUUGGUGGGGUAAUGGCCUACCAAGGCGACGACGGGUAGCCGGCCUGAGAGGGCGACCGGCCACACUGGGACUGAGACACGGCCCAGACUCCUACGGGAGGCAGCAGUGGGGAAUAUUGCACAAUGGGCGAAAGCCUGAUGCAGCGACGCCGCGUGAGGGAUGACGGCCUUCGGGUUGUAAACCUCUUUCAGCAGGGAAGAAGCGAAAGUGACGGUACCUGCAGAAGAAGCGCCGGCUAACUACGUGCCAGCAGCCGCGGUAAUACGUAGGGCGCAAGCGUUGUCCGGAAUUAUUGGGCGUAAAGAGCUCGUAGGCGGCCAGUCACGUCGGAUGUGAAAGCCCGAGGCUUAACCUCGGGUCUGCAUUCGAUACGGGCUGGCUAGAGUGUGGUAGGGGAGAUCGGAAUUCCUGGUGUAGCGGUGAAAUGCGCAAAUGUCACGAAGAACACCGGU
rnacentral:rRNA from 1 species